UUCUGUCGUACGCGAAGUCGAAGGAUGCCAAUAUCGAUAGCAAGAGGUCAUUUGUGAUUUUGUUGACAGUCGUUUUAUAGUCUGGGGCAGUAAUACUGUGUUGUGAAUGACAGACUUCACAAGUUAGGUUUCUUCCCCUUCCUAAACAACUUCAAGAAAUGAAAGACGAAAGAGAUUUGGAUAAGCUUGCUGAGGAAGAACUCCUACGGGAAGCGCAACGAGGUGCCUCGAGAGCAGCUGUUGGUGGUGCCCUGGCAUGGCAGAAAUGCCCCUUACAACCUACAAACAAGCGGUUUUUAUUUAACACGAUUCAACAAACAAUAAAUGCAAAUAAACUGAAAGAAGAAUAUAAAAUAAAUAAAUCUGAACCAACAAAAUACCAUUCUGGAUAUUCAACUCAGAAACUAACCUCACACUGCAGCUCAGAAACUAAUAGGAAAAGAACCAGGAAUGAUACGUAUAACAUUCAUAAUAACGGAGAAAAGCGACAGGCAUAUAAAAGGAGAGCUGAUAGUAAAUACAGCUCUCAAUUCACAGGACAUUCCUCAUGAUCUUUUACUUUAGGUUUCACUUUAUUCUGCAGUUUAUAUGGACUGAAAUAUAAAUGAUCAGCAUGAAGAAAUCCUUGAUGAAAAAAAUAAAUGAGAUUCCGACAACUGCAGCUGGAGAAUUUAUGAACACGCAAUUAACACUUAUCGUGCAUAGUUCAUAAUGACAACCACAUUCAACCCGGGAGCCAGUAUAGAUAAUACAACAUGAGACAAAACACAGUAGUGAAAAUAAAUGGAAAAAACAGAUAAAUCUGUCUACUUGUGAAGUGUGUACAAAACCAGCAAGAUCCAAACUAAGAUAAAGAAAUGUAAAGACUUGAAAAAUGUAUCAUUUAGCAAAGAGUUCACAUGUAAAAUUACAAUUUUCAGUUUGUGUUCUAAAAAGAUUACAUGGUGCAGACAUGGACAUGUACUAAGAAAGAGAGGAAAGUAAACUGCAAGCAGUUAAGAUGAAAUUCCUGUUAUAAAUAGUGGGGAAAACAAGGAAAGAGAGAAUUAAAACAUAUACAUUAUUGCAUGUGACACUUUUCAGCUACAGUCAUCCCACAAUUGAUGAAUUUUGUAUAGAUUAUCACAGGCUAAAUUAAAAUACUGAAAGGCAUAUUGCAUACACAAAUUUCAUUAGUGAUGAUAUAACAUUAAUAACAACUGAUAAAAUCAUUGCAGUUGCAAAUUUAACAUUAAACAUAUUUAAUUCCAAACAGCAGACUUGUGAUGAUGUAUUUGGUUGAAAUUCUUUACCUUCCUUUGAAAACAGAAGUAUUAACACUUACAAGCACCACAUUCUAGUAAUCCAUCAUGUAUUAUGAUAUGUUUUCUGCCUUUUCUUCAGAACUGGAGGAUGUGAAGGUCUCAUAAUAUGUAAACUGGAGCAUGUGAAAGCACCCUUGCAAGACACUGUUAAUGUACUUCACAAAACGCAGUGUAUCUUUGUCUCUGAAUGCUAAAGCAAGAGCAUUAUAGCUUGGUAGAAGAGUCAACAACUGAAAAAGGGAAACAAAAGCAACUUGGAGAUUCAGUAGCAACAGCAAAAAGAAUUAUAACAAAACUGGUGUAGUAAACCACUGUUUAUUCUCCUAGAAAGAAAGUCUUGGCAUUCCGACAUCAAAGGGUGGAAGUAAUGAUAACUUUAAAGCUUUCCUAAAAAUGAGUUUUAAAAUAUUUAAAAAAAAUGGUAACUUUGCAUCAAAGCUUAUACUUAUUGCAAUCUCUGUUAAAUCCUCAUCUUCCCAGCAACACUUAAUUUUAUCUACUUCUGUGUUUAAAUGACUGCAUACCACAUACCACUUUGUUUAGUCAAGACAUAUUUAAAGAAUAUUUCAAACACAACAUAAGAAAUUCAUGCACAUACAUUAGCUUUAUGGAUGCACAUCAAAACAUCUGGAUCAGAUAAACAACUUACCUCUUCAUCUGCAUCACGAGCUACAUAGGACACAAAACCUCCUUGCAGCUGCUUCAAACUGUGGACAUUGAAGUGGAUGAUGGCAUCCAGUGCAUACUCAUUACUCAUAUGGUCAUCACGCAUUAAAGUAUAGAAACCAUUUUUCCACCGCUGUAAUUCAUAUGAGCACUGGGGCAGCAUUACUUCAGCUAUAAAAGCAUCAUACAGUGACAACAAAAUUCAAGCAGUGAAGUUAACUAUACAGCAUGGUAAAUCAGUUUACAAGCAGUUUUAUUUGUGGAACAAUUCUGAGAUCAGGAAUAGUGAAGAUACCAGCACCACGAAAAAGUGCUAGAACAAAAAUUAAUACAUUUCCUUGAUUUUAACUCACACUUAUUCAAUUUUCUUGUGGUUAGUGAAGUGAGAGAAAUGCAUCUUUUUAUCACAGAUUUGGUAAAUACUGGAAGUAAGGUUUAACCGCAGUCUCAUGCCAGGUGGCACAGCACCUAGUGUAAUUUCUUUCUCGUGUAUGAAUAUGCAAUUUAAUGUAGAAUUGUAGCAAAGUAUUUGUGUUUGACAUGAACUCUUGAAUCUGAUUACCUCAUAUGUAGCUCAAAGUCUAUUCAGUGAAUCUUUUCUAUGAUGCAGGAUCAGAAGUAAUGAGUCACACUCAUAUAUUGUA